UACGGGAGGCAGCAGUGGGGAAUUGUUCGCAAUGGGCGCAAGCCUGACGACGCAACGCCGCGUGGAGGAUGAAGGUCUUCGGAUUGUAAACUCCUGUUGCCCGGGACGAAAUGCUUCGACCUAACACGUCGAAGUUUGACGGUACCGGGUGAGGAAGCCCCGGCUAACUCUGUGCCAGCAGCCGCGGUAAUACAGAGGGGGCAAGCGUUGUUCGGAAUUACUGGGCGUAAAGGGCGCGUAGGCGGCCUUCUAAGUCGAACGUGAAAUCCCCGGGCUCAACCCGGGAACUGCGUCCGAUACUGGAAGGCUUGAAUCCGGGAGAGGGAUGCGGAAUUCCAGGUGUAGCGGUGAAAUGCGUAGAUAUCUGGAGGAACACCGGUGGCGAAGGCGGCAUCCUGGACCGGCAUUGACGCUGAGGCGCGAAAGCCAGGGGAGCAAACGGGAUUAGAUACCCCGGUAGUCCUGGCCCUAAACGAUGAAUGCUUGGUGUGGCGGGUAUCGAUCCCUGCCGUGCCGAAGCUAACGCAUUAAGCAUUCCGCCUGGGGAGUACGGUCGCAAGGCUGAAACCCAAAGGAAUUGACGGGGGCCCGCACAAGCGGUGGAGCAUGUGGUUCAAUUCGACGCAACGCGAAGAACCUUACCCAGGCUUGAACUGCAGAUGACAUCCUACGAAAGUAGGCUUCCGCAAGGACAUCUGUAGAGGUGCUGCAUGGCUGUCGUCAGCUCGUGUCGUGAGAUGUUGGGUUAAGUCCCGCAACGAGCGCAACCCUUGUCUUCUGUUGCCAUCGGGUUAUGCCGGGCACUCUGAAGAGACUGCCGGUGACAAACCGGAGGAAGGUGGGGAUGACGUCAAGUCAGCAUGGCCUUUAUGUCUGGGGCCACACACGUGCUACAAUGGCCGGUGCAAACCGUCGCGAUCUCGCGAGAGGGAGCUAAUCGGAGAAAGCCGGUCUCAGUUCGGAUUGUAGGCUGCAACUCGCCUGCAUGAAGUU
rnacentral:rRNA from 1 species